AUUGAACGCUGGCGGCAGGCCUAACACAUGCAAGUCGAACGGAGCGGCGGGCGGGUGAGUAAUGACUAGGUAUCUGCCUGGUCGUGGGGGAUAACGUCCGGAAACGGACGCUAAUACCGCAUCCUAUCAGAUGAGCCUAGGUAGGAUUAGCUAGUUGGUGGGUUAAAGGCUGACAAAGGGGACGACCCGUAACUGGUCUGAGAGGAUGAUCAGUCACACGGGAACGAGGACACGGUCCAGACGCCUACGGGAGGCAGCAGUGGGGAAUAUUGGAAAAGGGGCGAAAGCCUGAUCCAGCCAUGCGGCGGGUGUGAAGAAGGUCUUCGGAUUGUAAAGCACGUUAAGUUGGGAGGCGUUACCAACAGAAUAAGCACCGGCUAACUUCGUGCCAGCCGCCGCGGUAAUAC
rnacentral:rRNA from 1 species